UGGCAGCAGGAGAUUGGGCUGAAUCAGGCGAGGCGCUCAGGGGAGGUGGCUGUGUUGGACAACCUGCUGGAGUUCCACCUGGAGGAAGCCGGCCCCAGCGGCCAGCAGCUGCUCGGCAGCAGCGAUGCAGCUUCCGCAGCAGCUGCCUCACAGGUGCCAUACUUACUUCAAACCUAGUCCAAGCUCACUCCACACCUGCAUCCCUGUGCUUGCUCGCUGGGCAUGCCUGCCAAAUUGUGUUCAAUGAUGAUUGCUGGAGAUCUGUAGGGCAUGAACAGAUUUGAGUGAAACAAUUCACCAAGGCUGCAAAUCAUUCUAAGCGUUCCUGGCAUUCCAAAAAAUCCCACAUUUCCUUACAUCAUGGAGUGGCGAGACUUGUUGUAAGCAAGAAUUUGUGCUCAGCAGGAAGGGGAUGCAAUUGUGUCGAGCGGGGGAAACGGGGCUGCGCCGUCAGCAGCGGCGGCUGGCGCCGGAGAGCCGGCAGCGCAGUCGAUGCGCGCCAAGCGGAAGCGACAAUCCAUCCUGGAGGCGCAGGGCACCGUGACUGCAUGAGAGGGCGUAUGUGCAUUGCGAUAUACUAUACAGUGUAUAUUUGACAUCGAGUAUCGUAAAAGUGGCCAAGAUUGACUGAGACUAUCGUGUGUGAUCAAAGGCUUGGUCAGGACAGCAUGCAGGUUAUGGAAGAUGCACUCCUUGCACCUGCUGAUUACUUGGCCAUAUGUUGUGGAGGGUGUGCAGGGUGCAAUGUGUAAAGCAGGUGUCCUGCUUGCAUGCGAGCAUCAUGCAGAUGAUAUCAGGGGAUCGAUCCCCUUGCUCCAGAUACAGACAUUAUGUGUUACAACUUUGGUGCACAACAUCACACGAUUUUGUUCAGAUCUCAAGUUUUAUUUCUUAUAUAGAACCAUGAGCGGCAACAAAAAGCAUCAAUUGAUGAAAUCCAGGGGCACCAGUAAACCAGUUGGUUGCAAGCUUAUGAAAUCUCAGCUCGUCCCAAUUCUGCGUGUGCAUCCACUUGCAUGCCCCGUGUAAAUUGUUGAAGUGACAAAGAAGCUCAGGCAACCAGGUUGCCACACUGGACUCCCCCUAUGUACCAUUGCAGCCAUCAAAUCAGCAACCGUCAAUAAUAGACACGAUAAUGCCUGCAAAGCAACACCUGUGACAAACAGACAUGGCGGCG
rnacentral:lncRNA from 1 species